UACGGAGGAUGCGAGCGUUAUCCGGAUUUAUUGGGUUUAAAGGGUGCGUAGGCGGACGCUUAAGUCAGCGGUAAAAUUGCGGGGCUCAACCUCGUCGAGCCGUUGAAACUGGGUGCCUUGAGUGGGCGAGAAGUACGCGGAAUGCGUGGUGUAGCGGUGAAAUGCAUAGAUAUCACGCAGAACUCCGAUUGCGAAGACAGCGUACCGGCGCCCAACUGACGCUGAAGCACGAAGGCGUGGGUAUCGAACAGG
rnacentral:rRNA from 1 species